GUAUAACGAGUAGUGAAACUCAUAAUGGCAUGCCCAUUAGAAAUCUCCCGCACCCCGCAUGCGGGCUAUCGACCAAUGAAAACAGUUCCCCGAAUGCGGGCCAUAUGGCAUGCGUUUUGGAAAUCUCCCGCACCCCGCACACGGGGGUUCGACUAAUGCAACUGAGACAUAAAUGCAUUAACUUUGUUACAGUAGGUUCUGCAAAACCUGAGCGGCUUAUAGGCCAGUUCGGAACCGCUCCGCAACUGCUGAAUCAAGAGAAAUCCAAUCACCCGUCUACUAAAUGUACCACCAAUCAGCCGAUUCCCCUGGACUUAAAUAACGUUCCAAGUAA